rnacentral:lncRNA from 1 species
AGUAGAGUUACAGAGAAGAAUGAGGCAAUGAGGCCAUAUGAGGCCAUAUUCCAGCCGUCGACGAAGUGGCCCAAAGAGGAAAACAGACAUGGCAUCAAUUCCUAACCUUAAUACCUGGGAGUGGAAACACUGACCUAGAAAUAUUCACAGAGAGCUGUGAGCCAUGGUAAUUCUUCCCUGUCUGACAAACUUCAACCUGAAC